GACGAACGCUGGCGACGCGCUUAACACAUGCAAGUCGAACGGAAAGGCCUGCUUUCCCUUGUGGAUUGCGGGUACUCGAGUGGCGAACGGGUGAGUAACACGUGAGUGAUCUGCCCCCAACUUGGGUAUAAGCCUGGGAAACUGGGUCUAAUUCCCGAUAGGACUGCAGGGUGGUGCCUGUGGUGGAAAACGAUUUUCUAGUGGUUGGGGAUGAGCUCGCGGCCUAUCAGCUUGUUGGUGGGGUAAUGGCCUACCAAGGCGGCGACGGGUAGCCGGCCUGGGAGGGUGGACGGCCACAUUGGGACUGAGAUACGGCCCAGACUCCUACGGGAGGCAGCAGUGGGGAAUAUUGCACAAUGGGCGGAAGCCUGAUGCAGCGACGCCGCGUGGGGGAUGACGGCCUUCGGGUUGUAAACUCCUUUCGACCGCGAGGAAGCCACCUGGUUGGAAGGGUGGUGACGGUAGUGGUAGAAGAAGCACCGGCUAACUACGUG
rnacentral:rRNA from 1 species